rnacentral:rRNA from 1 species
GAAUUUUGGACAAUGGGCGAAAGCCUGAUCCAGCAAUGCAGCGUGCAGGAUGAAGGCCUUAGGGUUGUAAACUGCUUUUGUACGGAACGAAAAGCUUUGGGUUAUUACCCUGGAGUCAUGACGGUACCGUAAGAGUAAGCACCGGCUACUCACGUGCCAGCCGCCGCGGUCAUACGUAGGGUGCAAGCGUUAAUCGGAAUUCCUGGGCGUAAAGCGUGCGCAGGCGGUUUUGUAAGACAGAUGUGAAAUCCCCGGGCUCAACCUGGGAACUGCCUUGGUGACUGCAAGGCUAGAGUACGGCAGAGGGGGGUGGAAUUCCGCGUGUAGCAGUGAAAUGCGUAGAUAUGCGGAGGAACACCGAUGGCGAACGCAACCCCCUGGGCCUGUACUGACGCUCAUGCACGAAAGCGUGGGGAGCAAACA